CUACGGAGGAUCCGAGCGUUAUCCGGAUUUAUUGGGUUUAAAGGGUGCGCAGGCGGGAGAUUAAGUCGGCGGUGAAAUUUUGCAGCUCAACUGUAAAAGUGCCUUCGAAACUGGGUUCCUUGAGUGUAGAUGAAGUAGGCGGAAUUUGUGGUGUAGCGGUGAAAUGCAUAGAUAUCACGAGGAACUCCGAUUGCGCAGGCAGCUUACUAAACUACUACUGACGCUCAGGCACGAAGGCGUGGGGAUCAAACAGGAUUAGAUACCCUGGUAGUCCACGCAGUGAACGAUGAUUACUAGCUGUUUGCGAUACAAUGUAAGCGGCUGAGCGAAAGCGUUAAGUAAUCCACCUGGGGAGUACGUUCGCAAGAAUGAAACUCAAAUGAAUUGACGGGG
rnacentral:rRNA from 1 species